GUGCUCGCUUCGGCAGCACAUACACUAAAAUCGGGACGAUACAGAGAUUAGCAUGGCCCCUGCGCAAGGACAGACUCUCUGCCACCAGAUAAGGAUCCUUCAAAA